GACGAACGCUGGCGGCGUGCUUAACACAUGCCAGUCGAACGAAGAGCGAUGGAAGCUUGCUUCUAUCAAUCUUAGUGGCGAACGGGUGAGUAACGCGUAAUCAACCUGCCCCUCAGAGGGGGACAACAGUUGGAAACGACUGCUAAUACCGCAUACGAUCUAAUCUCGGCAUCGAGGAUAGAUGAAAGGUGGCCUCUACAUGUAAGCUAUCACUGAAGGAGGGGAUUGCGUCUGAUUAGCUAGUUGGAGGGGUAACGGCCCACCAAGGCGAUGAUCAGUAGCCGGUCUGAGAGGAUGAACGGCCACAUUGGGACUGAGACACGGCCCAGACUCCUACGGGAGGCAGCAGUGGGGAAUCUUCCGCAAUGGACGAAAGUCUGACGGAGCAACGCCGCGUGAGUGAUGACGGCCUUCGGGUUGUAAAGCUCUGUUAAUCGGGACGAAAGGCCUUCUUGCGAAUAGUGAGAAGGAUUGACGGUACCGGAAUAGAAAGCCACGGCUAACUACGUG
rnacentral:rRNA from 1 species